GAUGAACGCUGGCGGCGUGCCUAAUACAUGCAAGUAGAACGCUGAAGGAAGGAGCUUGCUCUUUCCGGAUGAGUUGCGAACGGGUGAGUAACGCGUAGGUAACCUGCCUGGUAGCGGGGGAUAACUAUUGGAAACGAUAGCUAAUACCGCAUAACAGUAGAUGUUGCAUGAUAUCUACUUAAAAGGUGCAAUUGCACCACUACCAGAUGGACCUGCGUUGUAUUAGCUAGUUGGUGAGGUAACGGCUCACCAAGGCGACGAUACAUAGCCGACCUGAGAGGGUGAUCGGCCACACUGGGACUGAGACACGGCCCAGACUCCUACGGGAGGCAGCAGUAGGGAAUCUUCGGCAAUGGACGGAAGUCUGACCGAGCAACGCCGCGUGAGUGAAGAAGGUUUUCGGAUCGUAAAGCUCUGUUGUAAGAGUAGAACGAGUGUGAGAGUGGAAAGUUCACACUGUGACGGUAUCUUACCAGAAAGGGACGGCUAACUACGUG
rnacentral:rRNA from 1 species